GAUGAAGAACGUAGCGAAAUGCGAUAAGUAGUGUGAAUUGCAGAAUUCAGUGAAUCAUCGAAUCUUUGAACGCACAUUGCGCCCUUUGGUAUUCCUUAGGGCAUGCCUGUUCGAGCGUCAUUUAAACCUUCAAGCUAAGCUUGGUGUUGGGUGACUGUCCGCUUCACGGCGGACUCGCCUCAAAAUUAUUGGCGGCCGGUACAUUGGCUUCGAGCGCAGCAGAAACGCGAACUCGGGCCCGUCGUACUGGCUCCCAGAAGCUAUCUUCACAAUUUUGACCUCGGAUCAGGUAGGGAUACCCGCUGAACUUAAGCAUAUCAAUAAGCGUAGGA
rnacentral:misc_RNA from 1 species